CCUACGGGAGGCAGCAGUGGGGAAUAUUGCGCAAUGGGCGAAAGCCUGACGCAGCGACGCCGCGUGAGGGAUGAAGGUCUUCGGAGCGGAAACCUCUGUCAGCAGGGAAGAAAGGUCACGGUGCUAAUCAGCAGUGAAUUGACGGUACCGGCAAAGGAAGCACCGGCUAACGCCGUGCCAGCAGCCGCGGUAAUACGGAGGGUGCGAGCGUUAAUCGGAAUGACUGGGCGUAAAGCGCUCGUAGGCGGUAUGUCAAGUCAAGGGUGAAAUCCCCGCGCUCAACGUGGGAACGGCCUUUGAAACUUGCAACCUGGAGUGUGUGAUAGUUUAGUCGAAUUCCAGGUGUAGUCGU
rnacentral:rRNA from 1 species